rnacentral:tRNA from 1 species
CGACGUGUAGAUCACGUAGGCGAGGUUCGCGUCCGUCACGGGGGCGCGGAGCUCGGCGGGGGCCAGGUUCUGGCCCGGCAGGCCGGCCA